rnacentral:lncRNA from 1 species
CACCACCUGACUAAGGUGUUACAGGGUUUCAAAUAUAUAACAACAAAAGACUAUUGUUUUAUCAAGAUUUACACAAACUAAAAUAUAAUUUUUUUGAAAAUCUCUCUCUCUCUCUCUCUUCUUUCUCCUCUCUCUCUUUCUCUCUUUUUUCACAAUCUCUUCAUAUAGAAAUAUCUAUAGAUUAUUUAAUAGAAGAAAAAAAAAAGGGUUUACAUGUGCUAUGCAUAUAUUACAUGUUGUUUGCUCUGUUCCAUAAAUAGGUCAAAAAGAUAUAUAUUGAUAUAAAUUUGGUUGUUAGAUUACCAUUCAGGAUAAAUAAUUAGCAUAGGGGCCCAAAGUUUUUCAAGUUCAAAAACUUUGUUGUAUUUUCUUGCUGUAUAUAACUCUAAGUUAUAAAAGUUUUUCAGUCUAUUUUUUAAUUCAAUUGCAUUUGGAAGCUUUUCUUCUAGCUUGCAUUUAUAUAUGUAUUUUUUGGCAAAAAUUUUUUUUUUUGUUAAAAUCAAUGUUAACAUAGAAAUUUUUCAGACAAGCACAAAACAAAUAUAAAAAAUUUGAUGUCACUUGACAAUCAUAAAAUAAAUGUCCAAUAGUUUCAUCUUCACAUCUACAAAAAGAACAUAACUUUGUAUCUUUGAUUUUAAUCUUAUAUAAAAAUG